rnacentral:piRNA from 1 species
UGGAAUNUCAUCAGUUAAGGCGGUAACAGGC